rnacentral:rRNA from 1 species
GGAUAACACUUAGAAAUAGGUGCUAAUACCGCAUAAGCGCACAGCUUCGCAUGAAGCAGUGUGAAAAACUCCGGUGGUAUACGAUGGAUCCGCGUCUGAUUAGCUGGUUGGCGGGGUAACAGCCCACCAAGGCGACGAUCAGUAGCCGGCCUGAGAGGGUGAACGGCCACAUUGGGACUGAGACACGGCCCAAACUCCUACGGGAGGCAGCAGUGGGGAAUAUUGCACAAUGGGGGAAACCCUGAUGCAGCGACGCCGCGUGAGUGAAGAAGUAUUUCGGUAUGUAAAGCUCUAUCAGCAGGGAAGAAAUACUGACCUUACGGUCAGCAGACGGUACCUGACUAAGAAGCCCCGGCUAACUACGUGCCAGCAGCCGCGGUAAUACGUAGGGGGCAAGCGUUAUCCGGAUUUACUGGGUGUAAAGGGAGCGUAGACGGCAGCGCAAGUCUGAAGUGAAAUCCCAUGGCUUAACCAUGGAACUGCUUUGGAAACUGUGCAGCUGGAGUGCAGGAGAGGUAAGCGGAAUUCCUAGUGUAGCGGUGAAAUGCGUAGAUAUUAGGAGGAACACCAGUGGCGAAGGCGGCUUACUGGACUGUAACUGACGUUGAGGCUCGAAAGCGUGGGGAGCAAACAAGAUUAGAUACCCUGGUAGUCCACGCCGUAAACG